GUCCGACAUAGCAGGAAGCGCUAAUUUCAUCCACGUCAAUUACUUUGAUGAACGCUCAUACUGUUCAGGGUGCGAGAACAAGAUAAAAGAAUUACUGAAAUAAAAAGCAUACACCCGCCUGCAUGGCCCCCUCCCCUCUGGCCCCCACCCCGGAGCCCUGCAGGGCCGUGGGGCUGGGCUGCCCGCACGCAGCCAGCUGGGUGGUGAUGGGGCGGAUGAGACUGCCUUGGGUUCAAAAGGAGGAGAUUUGGGAUGGAGACAUGGCAGGACCACCCCCUGCAAUUGAACGCAGAGCCUCUCAGGGCAGAUGGAAGGAGAACGCCUCCGCUGUGGUCAGUCCCUGAAGACAAAGUGGAUGCUGCUGGCACACUGGAAUGACGGCACGGGUUUGCUGACGGUUUUGCAUGGGAGCAUCGGUUGGGUUUACACCUACAAGUGCUUGGCUAUGGCAGCGGGGCAUCCCAUGGAAAGGCCAAAAAGCAGCAGAGAGAUCCAGGGAAGGAGGAGAUGGCACACGCUGCAAGCCUGUUCUCUGUCAGCGACGCUGCUGGGAGCACGGACACCCAUAGUGGAGCCAGCAGCUGAGGACAGCUCACAGGAGAGGAAAAAAAUGGAGCCAAGGAUGGCACUGUCUCUUUAAAAAUAAAUAAAUAGAUAAAGACUAAAAAAAAAAAAAGAAAGAAAAAAUGCAAUAAGUAUAUGCAAAUGUGUUGAGCCGAACAUCGCUGUCUGUGAAACAGAUGAGGGAGAAAGUGCUUGAAGCUAGAGAGGAAUGAGGCAGCCAGCGCUGACCCCGGGG
ensembl:lncRNA